rnacentral:rRNA from 1 species
AAGUGGAGCAAUCCAUGAGUACAGUGGCGACCGGGUGAGUAACACGUGACUAACCUACCCUCGAGUGGGGGAUAACUCCGGGAAACCGGAGCUAAUACCGCAUAACAUCGCGAGGUGCAAUUCCUUGCGAUCAAAGGAGUAAUUCGCUUGAGGAGGGAGUCGCGUCUGAUUAGCUAGUUGGUGAGGUAACGGCCCACCAAGGCGAUGAUCAGUAGCCGGCCUGAGAGGGCGCACGGCCACACUGGAACUGAAAUACGGUCCAGACUCCUACGGGAGGCAGCAGUGGGGAAUUUUGCGCAAUGGGGGAAACCCUGACGCAGCAACGCCGCGUGGAGGAUGAAGUCCUUUGGG